ACGAAUCCAAGAAUCAACAACUACUUGCAACAAAACAAACCACAUCGUCUCUUUCGAGCUAAACAAUCCAACAUAAAAUAGAUUGAUGAGGGUUUCUCCUUGCGUAUGAAUAGUCUUCCAACACAGAGGUGAUCCAAGAUCCAUAUGCUCCCAGUCAAAAACAGCAAGCCUUCAAUGCCAUUUCGAGCCAAAACCAUCCAUUUGAACGUAACGUCGAGGCUCCAAACUGAGUGAACACACACCGAAACUUGACCUUCGUACCAGUAACCAAUAAGUCUGCAUUCAAUCAAGGAGAAUUGAAAUAGAUAUUAGACUAUCCCCAAAAGACAAGACAUAUUUGAGUAAAAUUCUUUUGAUGUAUGAUGUAUAAACCAACCAUCAACACAGAUAGAUUCACGAACCAAGCCCCUAAAAUAAAUCACACAUGCAUUAACAACCCUUUCGAGCCCUUCGAACCACGCGCGAAGCAAACCAGGUAUGAGAAAAGAAAACCAACACGACGGCAACAAGGUUUUGCUGCAGAACCAUAGAACAAACGGACCCACCUACAAAUCAGUGAGUCUGUUUAAGAAAACAGACAUACUCUCAUGGGUUUUAGAGAAAACCACAAACACGGGAACAAUACCAAGGAGGUGUUGCUGGUGAUGAACGAUCCAGAAGACCACCACAAAACCCAGAUCAAGCUUCAUUGUGGUCUCUGAUUGGCGAACAACAAGCAGACUACGAACGAGAGAAACUGGAAUCGUAUUUACAGGAAACCAUAGUAGCCACCAAAUCGUGGGGACGGUGGC
rnacentral:lncRNA from 1 species